AACAUUCAACGCUGUCGGUGAGUUUGAGAUAAAUUGAGAAAACCAUCGACCGUUGAUUGUACC
rnacentral:pre_miRNA from 1 species